rnacentral:rRNA from 1 species
AUUGAACGCUGGCGGCAUGCCUUACACAUGCAAGUCGAACGGUAACAGGUCUUCGGAUGCUGACGAGUGGCGAACGGGUGAGUAAUACAUCGGAACGUGCCUAGUAGUGGGGGAUAACUACUCGAAAGAGUGGCUAAUACCGCAUGUGAUCUACGGAUGAAAGCAGGGGAUCGCAAGACCUUGUGCUACUAGAGCGGCCGAUGGCAGAUUAGGUAGUUGGUGGGAUAAAAGCUUACCAAGCCGACGAUCUGUAGCUGGUCUGAGAGGACGAUCAGGCACACUGGGACUGAGACACGGCCCAGACUCCUACGGGAGGCAGCAGUGGGGAAUUUUGGACAAUGGGCGAAAGCCUGAUUCAGCAAUGCCGCGUGCAGGAUGAAGGCCUUCGGGUUGUAAACUGCUUUUGUACGGAACGAAAAGCCCCGGGUUAAUACCCUGGGGUCAUGACGGUACCGUAAGAAUAAGCACCGGCUAACUACGUGCCAGCCGCCGCCGUAA